rnacentral:rRNA from 1 species
ACUCCUACUGGAAGCAGCAGUGGGGAAUAUUGCGCAAUGGGCGAAAGCCUGACGCAGCAACGCCGCGUGCGGGAUGAAGGCCUUCGGGUUGUAAACCGCUUUCAGCAGGGAAGAAGCGAAAGUGACGGUACCUGCAGAAGAAGCACCGGCUAACUACGUGCCAGCAGCCGCGGUAAUAC